rnacentral:rRNA from 1 species
CCUGCCGGACCUGACUGCUAUCGGAUUGAUACUAAGCCAUGCGAGUCUUUGUAGUAAUACAAGGCAUACGGCUCAGUAACACGUAGUCAACCUACCCUAUGGACGAGAAUAAUCUCGGGAAACUGAGCAUAAUUCUUGAUAGAUCAUAAUGCCUGGAAUGGUUUAUGGUUAAAAUGAUUCGUCGCCAUAGGAUGGGACUGCGGCCUAUCAGCUUGUUGGUGAGGUAAUGGCCCACCAAGGCGAUUACAGGUACGGGCUCUGAGAGGAGAAGCCCGGAGAUGGGUACUGAGACACGGACCCAGGCCCUAUGGGGCGCAGCAGGCGAGAAAACUUUGCAAUGUGCGAAAGCACGACAAGGUUAAUCCGAGUGAUUUCUGCUAAAGAAAUCUUUUGCCAGUCGUAAAACCGCUGGUGAAUAAGGGGUGGGCAAGUUCUGGUGUCAGCCGCCGCGGUAAAACCAGCACCUCAAGUGGUCAGGAUGAUUAUUGGGCCUAAAGCAUCCGUAGCCGGCUUUGUAAGUUUUCGGUUAAAUCCAUGUGCUCAACGCAUGGGCUGCCGAAAAUACUGCAUGGCUAGGGAGUGGGAGAGGUAGACGGUACUCAGUAGGAAGGGGUAAAAUCCUUUGAUCUAUUGAUGACCACCUGUGGCGAAGGCGGUCUACCAGAACACGUUCGACGGUGAGGGAUGAAAGCUGGGGGAGCAAACCGGAUUAGAUACCCGGGUAGUCCCAGCUGUAAACGAUGCAGACUCGAUGAUGCAUUGGCAUAAUAGCUAGUGCAGUGUCGCAGGGAAGCCGUUAAGUCUGCCGCCUGGGAAGUACGUACGCAAGUAUGAAACUUAAAGGAAUUGGCGGGGAGCACCACAAGGGUGAAGCCUGCGGUUCAUUGGAGUCACCGCCGG